UACACUCCUGCGGGAGGCAGCAGUGGGGAAUUUUGGACAAUGGGCGAAAGCCUGAUCCAGCAAUGCCGCGUGAGUGAAGAAGGCCUUCGGGUUGUAAAGCUCUUUUGUCAGGGAAGAAACGGUGAAAGCUAAUAUCUUUUGCUAAUGACGGUACCUGAAGAAUAAGCACCGGCUAACUACGUGCCAGCAGCCGCGGUAAUACGUAGGGUGCAAGCGUUAAUCGGAAUUACUGGGCGUAAAGCGUGCGCAGGCGGUUUUGUAAGUCUGAUGUGAAAUCCCCGGGCUCAACCUGGGAAUUGCAUUGGAGACUGCAAGGCUAGAAUCUGGCAGAGGGGGGUAGAAUUCCACGUGUAGCAGUGAAAUGCGUAGAUAUGUGGAGGAACACCGAUGGCGAAGGCAGCCCCCUGGGUCAAGAUUGACGCUCAUGCACGAAAGCGUGGGGAGCAAACAGGAUUAGAUACCCCAGUAGUCCCA
rnacentral:rRNA from 1 species